AACCAAGCCCAAACCGCCGCCGCAUUUGGAAUCGGAGCAUCUUCUAACCCUAGUCGCUUCUCUGCUAUUUAUUUCCUCCUCCUCUUCAAAUAGAAGCGACGCCGAGUAAAUCGCCAAUGGUCGUCGUCCGAACCAGUUACUAUGAACGCAGCAGCAUUGCUACUGCCUUGCGUUCCGUCGUAAAGUUGCAGAGUCGGCGAGAUGCUGUUCGACGAAUACCAGGGAGAUGAAGAAAUCAGAUUUCUCUUCCUCCGAUGCCAUCAUCAAGAACUGGAACGUAAGUGGUAAUGCUGGCAGCCUGCUCUUUUUUUUCUGUUUUAUGUUGGAUCUGAAGCAAAAUAGUUUCUUUUGUGCCGCGCAAAGGCCCGGUGGUGUUGCAGUACAAGCACGAGUCGGAUACUGUAAGUGUUCCCGGAAAAGACGAGAUUUUGAAUUAGUAAAUGGCGUCUUUCUACGUUUAUCCAUUUGUUAAAAGUCUAGUCUUUCUAGCUAAGAACUUGGAUAAACAUUGUCGUAGAACUUCACCUCUGUUAGUAACACCAUGUGCCAUUCUCACCAUUUGGACCUGAUUAGACCGUGCUUGAAGAUGAUGGCAAUGUCAAAGCAUAUGUGCUAUCUUGAUCAUUAGAUCUCUCUCUUCACUUUGCUCUUCGUGAUUAGUAGUAGUUGGGCAUCCCAGUGUCUGUCUGUCCCGUUUGUUCUCUGUGAUUCAGUGAUUUGGGGCUUAUGUUGGUGGGUUAUCCAGUAACGGCUCAUAUUCAUAUGGUUUUGAAGUGGAUAUUGUUGCUGCUUCUGCCAAUUCAACACAGAUGUCACCAGAGGGUUGUGAGGUUUGUACUAAAGAUAGAGUUUUUCUAUAUUUUCGUUUCCAAAAAUCAACAUUUGACAAUCGGUAGAUUUUGGUACUAAAGACAGUUUUAUAGAUUGCAGUCAGCAAUAUGCCAUCUCAAUUUUGGCUGCUUUCCCAAAACUGUUUCAAAGGAGUUUUACAAUAUGAAGGAGAUGUUAUGAUUAUUCUUCAAUGUAACCUUGCUCAAAUUGAUGACCGAAUAAAAAUACCAUGAUAGUAGCAUGUGUGUGAAUAUGUAUAUGUUGGCAUGACUAUUCUUAAGAGAACAAAUGUUUGUUUUGGGACUUCUGCCUUGAUAAUCAAAAUCUUUCUUUGUAUCAGUCUUUGCUUAAUUGAUAUGCAACAAUCUUCCUUCUGUUUAUUCAUCAUGUGGGACUACAUAGAUAUCAGCACACUUGGCAUGUUUCCUUAUUAUUUUCUGUAUGGGUAUCAGUUUUAACAUAGGUAGCAAAACUCUAACCUUGUCUGGAAUCUUCAUCUCCUUUUUUUUGAACUAUCCUGCUCUCAAUCUUCUGUGGUUUUUAAAAUUAUUAUUAUAUCACUAUCAUAUUCAAAUUCUAUUCUCUUGUUGGUUUUCUGUUUUUGGGUUAUCUUGUAUGGAACUCAGAGAUGAAUCAUAGGCCAAGAGAAUUUCAAGAACAGAAGGGCAACCUAUCGAGAUGGACCAUUUUUUAAUUGGUUUUGUCUUUUCACAGUUGCCUAAAUUAGUAUUGGCUACUUAUCUGACUGGAAACUAAUGGUAUUUUCCAAUUUCCAGUUAAUUAUUUGUAAUAUUCGUAGUCAACAUUGAGUAUUCAAAAAAAAAAAAAAAGAAUUGUCAAAGCUGAAGGGCUGACAUUUUGAUUUUUUUUUCUCCAAAUCAUGUACAUGUUAUGGAGUCUUUUAUUUUGUUCCAAAAGAGCAUCUUGUUUUCUCAUGCCUGCAAUCCACAUCUCCUUUUUGUUGCAAUUUGCAACCACUAGAUACAAGUAUCACUACUCUCUUGUUGGUCUUCUGUUUUGGGGUUAUCAUGUCAUCGAACUGUGAGAUGAAAGUAUGAAACAUUGGUUGAGAGAAAUUACAAGAACAAAAGGGCAACCUAUCGAGAUGGACCACUCUUUUAUUGGUUUUGUCUUUUCACAGUUGCCUAAACUAGUAUUGGCUACUUAUCUGACUGGAAAAUAAUGUGUUUUUUCAUUUUCUAGUUAACUAUUUGUAAAACUUGUAGUCAACAUUGUCUACUCCAAACAAAUGUCAAAUCUGAUAGUUGGCAUUUAGAUUUUCCUUCAAAUCAUGUACAUGUUAUGGAGUCCUUUAUUUUGUUCCAAAAUAACAUCUUGUUUCUAUGCACUUUUCCCUGAUGUACGCUAAUGUUCCACUUCAGUUUUGAAACAAAAUGCCACUAGUUGUCUUUUCUUUUCCUUCAAUCCUGUCUCGACAUUUUCAAAAUGUGUUCUAACUAACUUUGACCCUUAACUGACUAUUUGCAAUCUGCUUGGUGGGGUUCCAAGUAUUUUGAGCUCUUCUGUUAUGUUUUUUUUGGUGUGCUGCAGUGUUAUGGAUUACCAUGGUUCUUAUGAGAUCUUCUUACUACAAGUGGUCACCUUAUGCUAUUUGCUUUUACUAAAUAAUGGAUGCACUCGUCCUAUUUUUUGUGCUUAUUUCCCACAAUCAGCCUUGAACCUUCAAUCCUCUCUUUUUGCUUACUAUAGUCAAAUCUUAUUUGAUUGGCACUCCUUUCUGUAUUGUAAUUUGCCACCAAAUCUGUCUUCGGGAUUACUGUGCCAUUGAAUUGUUCCUGUGAAACAUAGGUGGAGAGAAGGUGCAAGAAUAUUGAGUUGUGACAAUUAUAUCAAGUCUGGUGGAUGAUCUUGCUUCAAACGUCAUGUGUGGAAGAUUAAGAACAGAAACAUGACUUGUGGCAGCUUGCAGCCAAAAUUGAGGGAGCUUGAUGAAGGAGCCAUUGAGGCUCAUUUUUAGACUUCAUUUUCUCAAUUAUUUCAGUUUUCUUUUUUAAGAUUGCUUUAUGUUUCAUUGUUCAAUAAUUUUUUGGAAUUAAACAUUGUUCAUUAAUUUCGAUCAAUUAUUUACAGUUUUUCUUUUUAGC